rnacentral:rRNA from 1 species
GAUGAACGCUGGCGGCGUGCCUAAUACAUGCAAGUCGAGCGAACAGAUGAGGAGCUUGCUCCUCUGACGUUAGCGGCGGACGGGUGAGUAACACGUGGAUAACCUACCUAUAAGACUGGGAUAACUUCGGGAAACCGGAGCUAAUACCGGAUAAUAUAUUGAACCGCAUGGUUCAAUAGUGAAAGACGGUUUUGCUGUCACUUAUAGAUGGAUCCGCGCCGCAUUAGCUAGUUGGUAAGGUAACGGCUUACCAAGGCAACGAUGCGUAGCCGACCUGAGAGGGUGAUCGGCCACACUGGAACUGAGACACGGUCCAGACUCCUACGGGAGGCAGCAGUAGGGAAUCUUCUGCAAUGGGCGAAAGCCUGACGGAGCAACGCCGCGUGAGUGAUGAAGGUCUUCGGAUCGUAAAACUCUGCUAUUAGGGAAGAACAAAUGUGUAAGUAACUAUGCACGUCUUGACGGUACCUAAUCAGAAAGCCACGGCUAACUACGUG